UGGAAGACAAGUGAUUUUGUUGUUGUAACCAUGACAACCAGACAACAAGUCCCAGUCUCCCUCA
ensembl:miRNA gmo-mir-7b gmo-mir-7b